rnacentral:rRNA from 1 species
ACAUUUCUUUUAUUAAAAUUUUAAAAGUAUUUUCUGCUCAAUGAUUGAAUUUAAAUAGCUGCAGUAUUUUGACUGUACAAAGGUAGCAUAAUAAUUAGUUUAUUAAUUGUGAACUGGAAUGAAUGAAAAUAUGAGAGAUUAGUUUUGUUAAUUAAAUUAUUAUAAUUUUAUUUUUAAGUAAAAAAGCUUAAUUAAUUUUUAGGGACGAUAAGACCCUAUAGAGAUUUAAAUUUUAUUUGGGUUUAAUAAUAAUAGUUUGUUAAGUAUUUAAAUCUAUUAAAAAAUUUUUAUUGGGGUGAUAAUUAAAUAUUUAACUUUAAUUUUUUAUAUCAAUUAUUUUUGAUUUUGUUGAUCCAAUUUUUAUUGAUUAUAAGAUAAAGCUACCUUAGGGAUAACAGCGUAAUUUUAAUGGGGAGUUCUUAUUUAUAUUAAAUUUUGCGACCUCGAUGUUGAAUUAAGAUAAGGUUUUGGGGUAGGUUUUAAAUUUUCUAAGUCUGUUCGACUUUUAAAUUCUUACAUGAUCUG